GGGGGCGUCAGGGUUCGACAGGACAGGUCUGACGCUCAGUGGCGAGCCGAGGUGCCGUGGGCCUCGUUAAAAAACGGCGCACAAGAAGUGCGAACUACAACUAUGCGCUUGCUGCCUAAUUGAAGGCAGCCGCCGCCUUGCCUGCGGUCGGUCCGGGCAAGGACGAGCGUGGGUCAGACCGGCUGGCUCCUGAAGCUCUGCCCGGGGCGGACGGAGGACAGAGAACCGGGCUGGCGUCGUGAUUCCCUGUCCGUCGGGACGCACGACGCGAGAACCAAAGACGGACUAUGCUCGUAGAAGCUGGGUGAGCAGCUGUCCUGGAAGGGGGUUCAAUUCCCCCCGCCUCCACCA
rnacentral:tmRNA from 1 species